rnacentral:lncRNA from 1 species
CUUCCCACUUGCUCCCCAGACUGUUGAUAGGCAGAAGGCUGUCCAGCUAUAUGGGGGGGGGGGGGGGGUAAGAACAACAAUAGGGGAUGGAUAUCCUUUGAAGUGAGGUUACUAACCAAGAAAUCCAACUUCCUUUCAGGAUUCUGUGAUUUAGCAUUUUGCAGAGUAAACCAAGGAGGCAUCGUGAUGCGACCAUUUCCCUCCAGGCGUCUCUCUAUUAUAUACAGCAUACCUACGCCUAGUGAUUCAUAUUUUCAUUCUGGACAGGUAAGAAAGCACCAUUCAGUUUCCCCCUCCACAUGUACUCAUUUGGAAAUUGCUUGUGCAUAAUGUGAUAAUUAUUCUGUCUGAUGAGCCAAGAUAAAAUUGAGUCACUUUGUUUGACAACUUGAUCCCAUUUCUUUUCUUAUUCUUUGACAGAGACCAUCUAUUUCCCACAGCCAGAGUUUACGAGGAGACAUUACGGGUCUAAAACGUUCUUUCAGUCAACAAACAAGUGUGCAUUUCUGGAAAAGAUGGCUUUUGAAAACUUUUCCUACAGUUUCCUUGACUGUUACUGUAAUUCUUUUAGUCCUGUACUAUACAUUAUCUCCCUCAUUUUCUUUCAUCUACAUUGGUGGAAGUGUUGAAAUUCCGAAUUUGUCCUAUACAAGUGACCUAAUGCAUCCUGAGUCCCACACAUUUGUGCUGCAAACUGAAGCAAUCCAGAAUUAUGUAAGUUUUGCUGUGAAACAUACAGAAGAUUUUGCUUUGAUUUCCAUUUCUUUUAUGGGAUGUGCUGUUAAGAGGAAUUAGAAUGCUGGGAAUUUGGUGAAAAAUGUUUUCCUACCACUGCCAACAUUUUUAGCUUUCUUGAUAAUGAGCAAUGUUUCCUAAGGAGUGGAAUGAUGCCUUGGUGAAAACUGAAGAUAUUCCUUGCAACAGUUUUAACAGGGUUUUUCCAUUAAUUAAUUACUCAGCCAUCAAAAGAUGGUUAUAAAAUAGCCCAUUAUUUAUAUUUUAUCCAUUGCAUAUACAUAAACAUCACAGCCAUGUGCAUGGAUAAAACAACCAAUUUGAAGUAAUUUUUCAUGUUUCUGAUAAAGUGAACUCUGAACCACAAAAAUAUUGCCAGUUCAUAAGACUCUCUGUUACUUUCAAUGUAAUAGACUAAAUCAGUGGUCCUUAAGGCAAAAGUCCUUAAUCAGAACUCAACCUCUUCUGGAUUUGUCAGAGUUAUAAUUUCUUCUAUUUUCUGCAAUAAAAAUAUUUGCCUUACAAUGUCAUUUUGCUUUUUCUUGUGCAGAUUUUGCAUAAUGAUUUGAUAUUUAAAUUAAAGUCAUUCUUUUCUAUUAUUUCAUGCAGUACAACAACGCUUGCUUUCUUGCCUUUCUCUCCCAAGUGUACUCUGUGAGAUCAAUACACUUCUCUGGGUCUGUGCUAACAGUAGGCUUAAAAAUACAAAGCAUCCCUCUGUUAGCCUGCAUUUCCCACCUGAAUUAGUCAUGGACCUCAAAGCUGCUUUGUGCACAAAUUACAUGAGUUACCUAUGACCUGACAAAAAGCCAGCAAUGACAGCAGUUUUACGUACCCUUAAUUGUCUUUCAGGAGCCUCUGCUUGAUGAAGUGUCCAUCAUUAUGUUGCCUUUCUGAAAAGUUUCAAACUAAACUGAAAUAUGAAAUGUAUGUGAUCCUUUAUCCAUUUCAAAGAGUUUCCAUUUAUUGACACUUGAUGUAAAAAACCGACACCAAGUGUUGGUUAUUGAAUGACACUUCUAAAGUGAUGUAUUUACUUCAUAAUGUAAUAGAUGGUUUUUGCUCUUUAUAUUCAGCUUUCUAAUUGUUUAUUAGUUUGCAGAACUUUAUGAAUCUUCAGCCUUAGGAGAUUAUUACUUGAAAUCCAUUAUCACUGCUUUUAGGUAAGUCAUUUUCUGCUGUGUAUCAUCCUCGUAUUAAUAAAUGACUGCCAUUUUUGGUGACUUUUCUAUGCAUGUUUUGCAGAUAUCAUAAAAUAUGAAAAAAGGGAAGAUUAGCAGAUCCUAUCAGAACUUGCAAUUUAUUUCUGUUCAGACUGGAGACUAAUUGCAACUUGUAAUUGUAAUUGUACCACAGGAAUGUAGCCAUGGGAGGC